rnacentral:misc_RNA from 1 species
GGAGGGAUGUGGAGGAUGAUGAUUCGUUUGUUUUCAACGAGGGAUUUACUGCUCCUCUGUAUCGUAUAAAGCUACAUAUGUUUGUUAUGUUGGUAUAUGCAGUGGCUAUUUAUCUGAUUGUGUUAAGCUUUUGCAUAAAUAUUGUUAAUGCCAAAAGUGACCAUGGUCAAAUGCUUUACUCACUUUAAAAGCUUCAGUAUCUUCAUCACUCUAAAUUAAUUACUUAGAAAGGUUGUGGUUAACCUGCAUGCAUUUUUUUUUGUCGAUCAUAUUUUAGAGCUUGAAGCUAACUGUCAUUAGGGGAUGCAGGUCAAUGCAAUCCAGACGAAGGAAACUGUAGAGGAGAACAC